UGAGUUACGCUCUACAACCCUUUGUGAACAUACCUAUAACUGUUGCUUCGGCGGGUAGGGUCUCCGUGACCCUCCCGGCCUCCCGCCCCCGGGCGGGUCGGCGCCCGCCGGAGGAUAACCAAACUCUGAUUUAACGACGUUUCUUCUGAGUGGUACAAGCAAAUAAUCAAAACUUUUAACAACGGAUCUCUUGGUUCUGGCAUCGAUGAAGAACGCAGCGAAAUGCGAUAAGUAAUGUGAAUUGCAGAAUUCAGUGAAUCAUCGAAUCUUUGAACGCACAUUGCGCCCGCCAGCAUUCUGGCGGGCAUGCCUGUUCGAGCGUCAUUUCAACCCUCAAGCUCUGCUUGGUGUUGGGGCCCUACAGCUGAUGUAGGCCCUCAAAGGUAGUGGCGGACCCUCCCGGAGCCUCCUUUGCGUAGUAACUUUACGUCUCGCACUGGGAUCCGGAGGGACUCUUGCCGUAAAACCCCCCAAUUUUCCAAAGGUUGACCUCGGAUCAGGUAGGAAUACCCGCUGAACUUAAGCAUAUCAAUAAGCGGAGGAAAAGAAACCAACAGGGAUUGCCUCAGUAACGGCGAGUGAAGCGGCAACAGCUCAAAUUUGAAAUCUGGCCCUAGGCCCGAGUUGUAAUUUGCAGAGGAUGCUUUUGGUGCGGUGCCUUCCAAGUUCCCUAGAACGGGACGCCAGAGAGGGUGAGAGCCCCGUACAGUUGGACACCAAGCCUUUGUAAAGCUCCUUCGACGAGUCGAGUAGUUUGGGAAUGCUGCUCAAAAUGGGAGGUAUAUUUCUUCUAAAGCUAAAUACCGGCCAGAGACCGAUAGCGCACAAGUAGAGUGAUCGAAAGAUGAAAAGCACUUUGAAAAGAGGGUUAAACAGCACGUGAAAUUGUUAAAAGGGAAGCGCUUGUGACCAGACUUGCGUCCGGUGAAUCACCCAGCUCUCGCGGCUGGGGCACUUCGCCGGCUCAGGCCAGCAUCAGCUCGCUGUCGGGGACAAAAGCUUCAGGAACGUAGCUCUCUUCGGGGAGUGUUAUAGCCUGUUGCAUAAUACCCUUCGGCGGGCUGAGGUACGC
rnacentral:rRNA from 1 species